CUGUCGGCCUCUUGCCUUUGAGCCCCCCCUUUCCUUAUAGUAUUUACUAGAGAUAGAUAUUAAGUGUAUGUGCGUCUGUUUGUCUGUUUGUCUGUUUAUCUAUCUAUCUAUCUAUCUAUCUAUCUAUCUAUCUUUAGGGUGUGUGUGUAUACACAUGCGCACACACAUAUAUUGGUAUUAAGAAUAAUGUGGAGGUGAUGAUCCAGGAAUUAUGUGAGAGGAAAGGAUGCCCAAUAAUGACUUUAAAAACUUGUCUCAACUUUAUCCCAAUUAUAUAUAUAUAUGUGUGUGUGUGUGUGUGUGUGUGUACACGUAUAUAGUAUAAUCAGUGAUUUUCAACCAGAUGCCAUGGCACUGAAGAUAUACAUGGUGUGUGUAUGUGUGUGUGUGUGUAUAUAUAUAUAUAUAUAUGUAUGUGUAUGUGUAUAUACAUGUAUAAAAGCAGCUGCAUUGUUGGGAUGGGCUUACACAAGCUUGUUUAAUGCAAAAUAUUGUUUAAGCUAACCCUUGCCUUGCAUAAGUCCUGGGUCAUCACAGCUGCAACAUCUUAAAACAAAUACACACACACAUUGGUGUUAAGAAUAAUGUGGAGGUGAUGAUCCAGGAAUUAUGUGAGAGGCAUGGAUUUGCCCAAUGCCUUGCCUUUAAAAACUUGUCUUAACUUUAUCCCAAUUAUAUAUAUGUGCAUGUGUGUUUGUGUUUGUGUAUACUAUACAUAUAUAGUAUAAUUAAUGAUUUUCAACCAGAUGCCAUGACACCCUGGGGUGCCUUGAGAUUCUUUCCAGGGUGUCAUGGAGUGCCAUGCCAUGUUAGCACUGGUAAGUGUGCAAACAUGAUUCACAAGAUAACCAGAGAUUUCAAAGAAGAAAUUCAGUGUUAAAAACUUUCUGACAUGCUGUGGUCUUUCUGAGUUCUUUGCAACAGAAGACUUGCUCUGUUAUUUUUCUGUAGUCCAAAAAUGAGUGAAAGCUACAAGCCUGCAUAUUCUGAGGAGUACCUUGAAUCUUAACAAAUUGAAAGGUCACUGAUAGAUGUACACAUACUGAGAGAGGGAAAUAGAUGUACAUGUACUGAGAAAACUAGUGGCAAGCUCUCACUUAUUCCUGGUGUAGCCUUAUUUGGGGGUGGUAGAAAGUUUUGUUCCUCCAAUGAGAUGAGUUUUUUGGGUAAAAGUGUCAUUGCUUGAGGUCUGAUACAAAUGUUAAUUUGCAUAGACUGGCAUAUCAUGACUGCUACCAGUAGUUUUAUGAACUGAUAUUAUGAGCCUUGUUUGUGUGGUGUCUGUUUGUACCCCCAGGUAUCUUGAAUGGAAAAAUAAACCUGUUAACUGUAGUAAGAGCUUGGGGGAAAACUGUAUAAAGUAUUAGGCAACUGGAAUGCAUAUUGUCCAGAAAAAAAUAAUCUGUUUCACAGCUCUCUGCUGAUGAGGACCAAAUAAAAAAUGGAUUGCGAACUUUCCAGUAUGGAUGGGGAAGACUUCCAUUUCCUUGUUCCGAUACAUAUUUUACAGGACACAUUCUCCAUGUCAAAGUUUUCAUGUGGUUUGAGGAGGAGCAGAAGUAUAGCGGAGCUUUCCUGCCACUGGGUGAAUUGGAAACGUAGAGGCAAAGAAAAAGUUUUCCUUCUGCAUAUGUGACAUCCCCUUUCCCUAUAAGGAAAUGAGGGGCAGUACUAGACUCUCGAUUAUAGGACUCCCUUCACUUUGAAUGACUUUACGUAGAGUUGCCAAGGGUAUGAGUUGCAAGGGUGGAAAAGUAAACCAAGAGAGACAUUUUUUAGAUUUUGGAAUCUUUUUUUUUCCUUGACCCCAAACUUUUCAGCAACCUGAAGGAAUGUUCCAGGACAGAUGAGGAAGCACAGAUAUACAGGACUCCCAGGAACCUUGAUAUCUAACUUGGUGAGGAAGGACUGAAUUGUUUCCAGCUACAGAUCUUUCAAGGCUCCAUCAAAAAAAAAAGAAAACCUAUGCAGCAGUUGUAGUAGUCAGGACUGGGCUUCUAGGUACGACCCCUUGCAGUGGAAGUACAGGCAACAUGGACAAAAAUAUUCCAGUAGGGAUUUUGCUUUUGAGUUCCUUCUGUUAAAAUAUUUAAUAUUCUCUCUCGUAGCAUUGAAAGGUGUGAUCCUGACAGGCUCUAAAAGAUGUUAUAUCAACUUUUAUUUUAACUAUGAAGCAAGAUUUUUUCUGAGAAUAAUUUGGAAUUACAAAGGGCUUAGAGACUGGGGUAAUAUAUGGGUGAAUCAAGAAAUAGAGGCUAUUUCCUUAUUUCAAACUUCUAUUAAGCUUAUGACUUUUUCUUCAAUUAAAAUAUACGGUAAAUUAAUAUUAUGCUUAUUUGUAUUAUACUAACAUAUUACAGCCUUCAGUUAAAGUUUGUAAUAUAUUUAGGUUUUUAAAUGCAUAUUUUAAAAACAACCUUGAACUUUUAAAAUAUAAAUACUUAAAUACAGCAUCUCCUCAAUAUAUUUUAUUUAAGCUCUGAACGGCCUAGUGGCCAAGCUAUGAUUUGACAGAGCCUUUAGUUCUGGCUGUGGCCUGAGGAAAUGCCUGUGCCAUGAAUCUCAUGAGCUCAAGAUUGGGGACGGCAGGGACUUCAUACAAUUCAAAAUGUGUGGGGGAGAGGAAAUUAUUAUGUUGAUAGGCAAUAUCCAGCUAGAGGCAUGAUACAAUAGGGGAAGAUCCCAGUUCCCAGUUCAUUCCCAAUUGCAUAAGAAUUCUUCAUCCUUCUCUAAGUCAGAAGAUUCUCAUCAGUCCUGGAAGGAUUAAUGAAGACCCUAUUUUGAGUGGCAGGGCAAGGUUGGGACUGGAGGUGGUUUGGGCAAAAUGAACCAUAGGGAGUUAGGAUUAGGACAUGAGCAUUAGUCAUGUUGGACUGUCAGAUCAGGAACAGAGGAAAACGAGAAGCAAAGAGAAAGAUUGGGAAGGAACUUCUACAGGCACAACUAAUAAUGCAGGAAUCUUUGGGUACUAGGGAUGAACAGACAUCUUUAUCCUUAGCUUUAGGAAGAUACUCUUUCAAAAGAUUUUCAAGAUGUAGGAUUUAGCUUGAACAGGAAUUGAAAUAAAACUAAAAAGAUAUCACCAAUGCAGAUAUAAUACAACAGGAUAUGACCAGCAUAUGCAUAAUAGUACAAUAGGGGUGUAAUCAGCAUAUGCAUUAUACAAUAUGUGCAUGACCAGAGUCAAUAUAAAAAGCAAAUUAGUAAUACAUAUUAUUUGAAAAAAAAAUUCUAAACCUUUAAAUGGGACAUCUGGUAACACACAAGACAUAUAAGAAACUUUAAAUGGGCAAAACAACACUUUUCAUGAUCAGAAAACAAAUACUAUAUAAGAUGAAAAAAACUGCUUUACCUUGUGUAUUUCUAACCCUUUUAAUCAGUUUUCUCAAAAUAGUCUAGAAAAAGUUCACUUUUAUUUUGACAUGAACUAUUAGAAAUGCCACAAAAAAACCAAGCAAACAAAAUAAAAGACACACAAGGAUAUGAAAACAGAACCUUGCAAUUGAUUGUCUUUACUAUGUUGACUAACUUUUAUAUAUAUUAAUGCAUUUUAAUUGAACAAAGUUGAGAAGUAUCCAAGAUUCUUUAAUAUGACCUUCACAGAUAUCCAUCCAGUUUGCUUUGGGGGAGAAGGAAGGUGAAAUAAUAACCUCAGAUCUGGGAUUCAUCUGUCAUGAAGUAAGGAAGUGUGGUUUGAAAUGUUAAUUCUCAAUUCCCAUACAAGCAGAUUGAUAGAUGAGGCAUAAAAUGGUUCCAGAUGCUGUGGUUUCCAAACUAUUCAGCUGUGCUCACUUUUCCUAUCUCUAUAACCUGGAGCAAUAUUACUGUAAGUAGGCCACCUGUGUUCUGAGAUUUACCUGAGUCUUAAAACAUGUCCUUCAUGUAUGGGAAAACUGGGUUGAAGUUUAAUUUAUUUUCUAACAAAUCAAGGUUUCUAGCUGAUUAAAAAGCAAACAACCUGAUUAGGGAUAAACAAAAAUAUCUAUGGAAUAUUUGUUUUGGAAGAUACUUUGGUUUAUAACUGAAAACAAUUAUAACAGGCUGAAUAACCUCUACUCUUUCACCUCACAGAUGCUGCCUGCAAUCUUUUCAGUAUACUUUAAAUAAAGGAAAAGAUUGCCCUCCAACGAAAACACAGCACAGUGAGCCAGGAGAUAUUGGCUGUUUUCCUGGUUCCGCUACUGGUUUCUGCUGCAAUAUUAGGCAGAUGAUGAGAGAAUCUCUGCUUCACAACUCUUGAGCUUGGUGAAUUGUAUCUCCCCUUAUGCUGGAAGCUUCAGAACAGAAGAAGAAAUUUUGAUACGGUAUUUUUCAAGAAAAGCAGAGAGGCAAUUUUCCAAAACAAGUGAAGAACAUUUGGCUUCAGAGGGAAAGCAGAAGACAGAGACAUUUAUCAGGAUAGUGUUCCCUUGUUACCAUUCGAUGACAUCAGCAGACAUUUAUGACUGAGAAAAUCUCUCAUUGCCCCCACUAACCUGAAAGAGGAAUAAAAACUCCAUUUCAAAUCUUUCA